UACGUAGGGGGCAAGCGUUGUCCGGAUUUAUUGGGCGUAAAGAGCUCGUAGGCGGCUUGGCAAGUCGGGUGUGAAAACUCGAGGCUCAACCUCGAGACGUCGAUGGAAACCAUCUGGCUAGAGUCCGGAAGAGGAGAGUGGAAUUCCUGGUGUAGCGGUGAAAUGCGCAGAUAUCAGGAAGAACACCCGUGGCGAAGGCGGCUCUCUGGUACGUGACUGACGCUGAGACGCGAAAGCGUGGGGAGCAAACAGG
rnacentral:rRNA from 1 species